AGAAACUCCAUUAAGGCGCGAGACCUAAGCUCUGAGAGUGUCAUUGUCAGUGGCAGACUAAGAUUGUGGAGAGGAUGAAAACCCUAGCGACCUCCAACUCCAUCAUCGGUAACAAUGCAGCUCCUUCUUCCUUCUCUGCUUCUUCGCUGAAAGAGCGUCUUCUUUGUGGAGGACCUGAAUUCGUCUCUUAUCGGAGGCAUCGGAAAUUGACUAGUUCUGGACUUCAGCAUUUGGUAUCGUUGCGCCGGGGAGGCAUUGAAUUUCUUUCUUGCUUCUCGUCUCAUCAGCAGGCAGAUACUCAGAAUGAGGUAGUUGAGAAUCAAGGCACGAAUCAAUCAAAGACAGUUCGCGUCAAAUUCCAGCUGCAGAAAGAGUGUACAUUUGGGGAGCAUUUCUUUGUAGUAGGUGAUGAUCCAAGUUUUGGUUCCUGGGACGUUACAAGUGCAAUACCUUUAAACUGGGCAGAUGGGCAUCUAUGGGCAGCAGAAGUGGAGAUUCCUGUUGGAAAAGCAAUCCAAUUCAAAUUCGUACUUCAAGGAGAAACUGGGAAUGUCGUAUGGCAACCUGGUCCUGAUCGAAUAUUUCAACCCUGGGAAACAUCUAAUACAAUCAUCGUUUCUGAAGAUUGGGAUAGUGCUGACUCACGGAUGCUCAGUGAAGAAGAAAACAUUGUUAACCAGGAUGAUCAUUCUCCCGUUGUCCCAGAAAAGUUAAUGAUUGAGGAUUCAUCAUUUGCUCUUGCCGAUGCUUCAAUAGUAGAAAAAUCAUCGGUGGAAUCGCAUGAAGUGUUGAUUCUUGGCGGUAACAUCUCAGCUUCAGAAGAAAAUGGCAGUAAUGUCUCUGCUUCAGAAGAGAAUACCAAAGAUAUUAUGGCAUCGAAUAUAAUCUCAACAAAGGAGAGCUACAUUCUCAAUACAAGUAACAAGGAUGUGAGCGAGGUAUACGGCAAUCCAAAUGGGGAGACAACAAUUAUAUCCCAGAGUGAAACAAAGAGAACAGAGGAAGUUUUGGAAAAUUAUGAGAAAGAAGAAACAGCGAAGAUCCCUAGGAAUGCGGAUGUUCAAGAAAGCUUUAUCAACUAUGGCGUUCCUGUUCUAGUUCCUGGUUUACCUCCAACACCAACAACCUCAAAUCAGGAUGCACCUCAACAUGAAGUCAAAGAUGAUGGUUCCAUCGAUGGAAUUAAUGAAUCUAACGAUCAUAAACUACCUGAGAACAUACAGGAUCCUGAUGUCGUGGUAGAACUAGAGAUGGAAGCGAAGUCAAGUUAUGAAGAAAAUGUCGUCCAAAGUGAAAUUAGACAAGAGGAUGACACAAAUAAAAUUGCGAAUGAAUCUGAUUUGCAGGAAGUCAACGAUAGUAUCGUUCAGAAUGACAUAACAUGGGGUCAUAAAACCCUGAAGAAGUUCUUCUCCAGUUUAAGGUUGCUUUAGCAUCACAAAUUCAUUCUUAUUGCUUUACUAUGUUGUUCCCCAAGAAAUUUUCAACUUACUGUGACCCAAUUGGGUGGAUGGAAGCUGCUGUUUGGGAAUUGUACAUAUGGUCUGCCACUUCACUAUAUUCUAAUACUACUUGGUGUAAAUACACAGACUACGAAAUUGGUUCAUUAGCAAAUCUGGACUGCAAUGGUUUUGCAAGAAUCUGGUAAUUAUAGUCUUUAGUCAUUUGGAUUGUAUGUAUAUGUUUAAUUUUAAAUUUCAAGAACUCUGGUCAUAUAUUGUUUUGCAUUAUAAUCAGAACGUAUGAGUUAAAAGUGAGUUCAUAAUUAAAGAAACUCUUAGAUCA